UCGAACGCGAAAGGGGCUUCGGCCCUGAGUAGAGUGGCGAACGGGUGAGUAACACGUGGGUGAUCUACCUCUGAGUGGGGGAUAACCUUCCGAAAGGAGGGCUAAUACCGCAUGACGUUCUCGGUUUGAAGACCGGGAGACCAAAGUCGGGGACCGCAAGGCCUGAUGCUUGGAGAGGAGCCCGCGCCUGAUUAGCUAGUUGGUGAGGUAACGGCUCACCAAGGCGACGAUCAGUAGCCGGCCUGAGAGGGCGGACGGCCACACUGGGACUGAGACACGGCCCAGACUCCUACGGGAGGCAGCAGUGGGGAAUUGUUCGCAAUGGGCGCAAGCCUGACGACGCAACGCCGCGUGGAGGAUGAAGGUCUUCGGAUUGUAAACUCCUGUUGACCGGGACGAAUGGGCUCCGACCUAACACGUCGGGGCAGUGACGGUACCGGUUGAGGAAGCCACGGCUAACUCUGUGCCAGCAGCCGCGGUAAUACAGAGGUGGCAAGCGUUG
rnacentral:rRNA from 1 species